rnacentral:rRNA from 1 species
UACGUAGGGUGCAAGCGUUUAAUCGGAAUUACUGGGCGUAAAGCGUGCGCAGGCGGUUUUGUAAGUCUGUCGUGAAAUCCCCGGGCUCAACCUGGGAAUGGCGAUGGAGACUGCAAGGCUAGAGUUUGGCAGAGGGGGGGUAGAAUUCCACGUGUAGCAGUGAAAUGCGUAGAUAUGUGGAGGAACACCGAUGGCGAAGGCAGCCCCCCUGGGUCAAGAUUGACGCUCAUGCACGAAAAGCGUGGGGAGCAAACAGG